rnacentral:rRNA from 1 species
CGUGUAGGCGGCUUGGCAAGUCGGAUGUGAAAUCCCGGGGCCCAACCCCGGAACUGCACUCGAAACUGCCUGGCUUGAGUCCCGGAGAGGAGAGCGGAAUUCCCGGUGUAGAGGUGAAAUUCGUAGAUAUCGGGAGGAACACCAGCGGCGAAGGCGGCUCUCUGGACGGUGACUGACGCUGAGACGCGAAAGCGUGGGGAGCAAACAGGAUUAGAUACCCUGGUAGUCC